rnacentral:lncRNA from 1 species
UGUGAUAAGAAAUUUAAGAUUUUACCGGGUAUGAUUCAUUAUUUUGUUAUAAAUGAUUUGUUAUGCUCUAAAUUUUGUAGAACUUAAAUAUAUGUUAUAACAAGAAAAAGAAAUUAUGUUGAAAUUUUUAUUUUUAUCUUUUGUAUAUUAAUUAUUAUUCACUGUCAUGACUGUCAUGACUAAAUAAAAAUUAGAUCCCACGCAUGCGCGGCAUAGUUACUGUAAAUAAGUGCCGGACACGUUAUCAUCAGUAUGUUGAUGGAUUAUAAAGAAGAAGAAGAAGAAUCUUAUAAAUACUAUUUGCUUUGUCACCAUGUCACGUUGGUAGUAAUAUUCAACAAAUUCUAUUUUAAAAUAAAAAAGUAUUAUAAAUUGAUCACAACAAGUAUAGUGCUAUACAAUGCUAUAGCCUCUAUUAGACAGUAACCCUUCAAUGAAGUAUACACCUAAGAAAACAUUGAUGUAGAAAGAGAGAACAUUU